rnacentral:rRNA from 1 species
UACGAAGGGGGCUAGCGUUGCUCGGAAUCACUGGGCGUAAAGGGUGCGUAGGCGGGUUUCUAAGUCAGAGGUGAAAUCCUGGAGCUCAGCUCCAGAACUGCCUUUGAUACUGGAGAGCUUGAGUCCGGGAGAGGUGAGUGGAACUGCGAGUGUAGAGGUGAAAUUCGUAGAUAUUCGCAAGAACACCAGUGGCGAAGGCGGCUCACUGGCCCGGUACUGACGCUGAGGUGCGAAAGCGUGGGGAGCAAACAGG